GAUUUGCGUCGAUUCCACUCCACCGCAGUUACCGCUGCCACAAAAUCGACCGGCGUUGUCGUGUUUGCACGCCAUAUUCAACAAAUCGAGCAGAUCAAAAAUGACAAAAAGAGGUCGUCCCCGCGCGCAAGCAUCGCAGGAAGCAGAGAAGCGGCUAAGAUCAGACAUUGACGAUGCAGUUGACGAUGUUAUUCCAGUUGACGAGAAUUGUGGUUUGGAGUGAGUUUUGGUUCGGCUAUAGGGAGAUCUUGGUUAAUGGGUAAACUGAUAUUCGGAUAGAUGUUUCAAUUUAA